AAACGGCCGCGGUAUCUUGACCGAGCGAAGGUAGCAUAAUCAUUUGUCUCUUAAAUAGAGACUGGUAUGAAUGGCAAGACGGAACCUAACUGUCUCCUUUUUCUAGCUCCUAAUUUUACCUCCUUGUGAAGAGGCAAGGAUAACUUCGUUAGACGAGAAGACCCUGUCGAGCUUAUAGCUAACAGCUAGUUUUUAUAUGCCUAAUUAACCUCUGCUAAUUUUAAAUAAAUUUACAAAAACUUAGCUUUAAAUACCUAUCUCUAGCUUUGGUUGGGGCAACCAUGGAGAAACUUAAUCCUCCAUUUACUUUUAUUUAACUAAGACAAAACCAAUCUAAUAUUCAAAACAAGUAUUAAUGAUCCACCUAGGUGAUCAAAGGAAAAAGUUACCGCAGGGAUAACAGCGUCAUCUUCUUUGAGAGUUCAUAUUGACAAGAAGGUUUGCGACCUCGAUGUUGGAUCGGGACAUCC
rnacentral:rRNA from 1 species